rnacentral:rRNA from 1 species
GCGCACCAGUCGCGAAAACUUCGCAAUGCGCGAAAGCGCGACGAAGGGAUUCCAAGUGCAUGCACCAAGUGUAUGCUUUUCGUGAGUUUAAAACGCUCACGGAAUAAGGGCUGGGUAAGACUGGUGCCAGCCGCCGCGGUAAUACCAGCGGCCCUAGUGGUGAUCGUUAUUAUUGGGCCUAAAGCGUCCGUAGCCGGUCCGGUAAAUCUCUGGGUAAACCGUUGGGCUUAACUCAGCGAAUUCUGGGGAGACUGCUGGACUUGGGGACCGGGAGAGGUCGGAGGUACUCCAGGGGUAGGGGUGAAAUCCUGUAAUCCUUGGGGGACCACCGGUGGCGAAGGCGUCCGACCAGAACGGGUCCGACGGUAAGGGACGAAGCCCUGGGGCGCGAACCGGAUUAGAUACCCGCGUAGU